rnacentral:rRNA from 1 species
CCUACGGGAGGCAGCAGUGGGGAAUCUUGCGCAAUGGGCGAAAGCCUGACCCAGCAACGCCGCGUGCGGGAAGAAGGCUUUCGGGCUGUAAACCGCUUUCAGCAGGAACGAAAAUGACGGUACCUGCAGAAGAAGGAGCGGCCAACUAUGUGCCAGCAGCCGCGGUGAUACAUAGGCUUCAAGCGUUGUCCGGAUUUAUUGGGCGUAAAGAGUUCGUAGGCGGUCGAGUAAGUCGGGUGUGAAAAUUCUGGGCUCAACCCAGAGACGCCACCCGAUACUGCUUGACUUGAGUUCGAUAGGGGAGUGGGGAAUUCCUAGUGUAGCGGUGAAAUGCGCAGAUAUUAGGAGGAACACCGGUGGCGAAGGCGCCACUCUGGAUCGAUACUGACGCUGAGGAACGAAAGCAUGGGUAGCAAACAGGAUUAGAUACCCUGGUAGUCCAUGCCGUAAACGGUGGGCACUAGGUGUGGGUUUCUAUUAACGAAAUCCGCGCCGUCGCUAACGCAUUAAGUGCCCCGCCUGGGGAUACGGUCGCAAGACUAAAACUCAAAUGAAUUGACGG